rnacentral:misc_RNA from 1 species
GGACCUCAGACAUGCAGGAUGAUGGAGGUGACGAGAUUAAGGACGCACAUAAACAUGAGGAUGAACACUAGCAACUUGAAGAAACGACAGGUGCUGAUCUCUGAAGUAUUCCUAGAUUGAAGUAUGUCUCAUAGAUAUUCACUCAUUUGAUCAUGUCAUAAUAGGUUGUGUUUGCUUUCGAGAACCUAUGAUUUGCACCUUGGAUAGUCCCAUCUUUUAUGGGUUCCAAGGCUUUUGGUAUCGUUUUUAAUAUGUAAUAUUCAGAUUUC